AAUUUUAAUUUUUGUUGGUAUGAGUUGAAGUCUUUCUAAUUCAUGCGAGUGCCUUUCCAACCGGCUGGUACAGGAUCCAUUCUUUUUUAAUUUUUUGUCUUAACAAUGUCAAUUCCAACAUAGUACACACAUGCAGGAUUAAGGAUUUGUAUUUAUAUAUCCAAAGGUUCACCACAAAAAUGUAAAAAGUAUUGCUUAAUCAACAACAAUUAACUUAUCCAUGGGAAGUUUGUAAUCAAGCUAAUUGAAAGCGUUAGUAAUUAUUCUGAGGCCAUCUAACAGACAAAACAAGCAUUUAACCCAAUGUAAAAUGCAGAGUUAGCUGAUCAGAAAGCUAUCACAUUAAAUAAUAGGGUUUAGAUUUACUUCUAUUUAAAAUAAAUUAAAUAUACAUAAAAAAUGAGUCACAACUUACACUCUUCAACAACUUUCUGACCGUAAAAACUUGGAGUGUAGACUAUGUGAUUCUUUUAAUGCAUAUAUGUCUCUCACAAUUACCUGUCUAAUUUCCUUUACAUCAAUGACUUUCUUCUUGUGCUUCUAUUUCUAUCUAUGAUCCAACCCAAUUGAGAAAUGUUGAGAAUGGCACAUUGGGCAGUGAUAUGGUCUGAAUAGUGGCUAUAAGUGGUCAAUGUCUCUCACCUUACACGUCCAAGUUUUACAUGUCCAACAUAAUUCAAUUUUUACACAAAUGUCACGUUACUAAUAAUCUAUCAUCCAUCAAGAAACUCCAUGGUCACCUACUCAUAAAAGGCACUCUCUUCAUUCUCCAUGAUAUUCACACCCAACUCAUUGCUACUUACACCUCAUGCCUUCCCAACGACGACAACCUUCAGACACUAGUCAACACUUUCUUCAAAUGCAUGAAUUCCACCAACCCAUUACACUUCAAUCUCAUCAUUUCUCAUUUUUGUCACAAAGGUUUCCCCUCUCUUGCUCUCGCAUCCUGUUCCUUUAUGCACACCAACGCUAUUCCUUUAGAUACAUACGCUUUGUGUAGCACUUUGACCGCUUCGUCGUAACUCAAAGACUUUCAUUUUGGGAAGCAGAUACAUGCCCAUGUUGUGAAAUCAGCUCAAGUGUUUGAUGAAAUUCCUCACAAGAACACUGUUUGUGUUAAUGCACUUUUGAGUGGUUAUGGUGAGGCUGGGUUAUGGGUUAAGGAGCUUGAACUAGUUAGGAUGAUGCCUGUGUUGAAAUUGAAGUAUGAUCAGUUUACACUAUCAGCAGCCUUACGGGCGUGCAUUGGAUUAUCUUCUGUUGAAAUUGGUGGACAACUGCAUAGCUAUUUGCUCCGUACUAUACAUGAUAUAGAGAGGGACUGUUUCUGCAGAGCGCGUUGAUUGAGAUGUAUGGAAAGUGUGGAAUGGUAGAGAAGGCUUGGCUUGUUUUCAAGUUGGCUGGAAUGGAGAUCAGAAAAGAAAGGAAUAGAGAUGUUGUGUUAUGGACUUCGAUGCUUGGUGUGUAUGGUAAAAAUGGACAUUAUAAGGAAGUAAUUGAUUUGUUCAGUGAAAUGUUGGAGGAAGGAAUAAGACCUGAUGGAGUAGCAUUUCUGACAGUAAUCUCAGCUUGCGGUCAUGCUGGUGUCGAGUAUUUUGAAUCUAUGAUGGUUUCAAGUUGGAUCCUGGUCCAGAGCAUUAUAGUUGCCUGGUUGAUUUGCUUUGUAGGGUUGGAGAAUUAAACAAGGCAUGGGAAUUACUUAAUGAGAUGCUCUAUAAUAAGGGAAUAGGGAAUUGUAGUGUCUCUAUGUGGGGAGCUCUACUCAAUGCUUGUGUGGACAGUGGGAAUAUAGAGCUGGGAAAAUUGGCAGCUCAGAGGGCUCUGGAGUUAGAUCCUCAAAAUGCUGGAAUUUGUGUUAUGCUAUCGAACCUGUAUGCCCGUUUUGGUAUGUGGGAUGAGAUUGGACGUUUGAGAGUAUUGAUCAAAGAAAGAGGGUUAAGAAAAGAUGUUGUUGGAUGCAGUUGGGUUCAAGUGACAAGUUGAACGGAUUAGGAAAUGGUUUGAAGUGAUGCUGUUGUCUUUAAAAUCUUGCUGGUAGGUCUCUACUCAAAAUCCUAAACGCGCUUACUAUAACAAGUCAGAAAAAUUGGGAAUGCUCAACUAGCUCGGGGUUAAAAAAUGAGACACUUGUUUAGAUUAAAGAAUGGAUUUUGGACUGAAGAACAGUGUAGCAUAUAUUUCCUUGGAGAAAUGCUAAAUAGUACAAAUUUAUAAGCAAUAUUUUUAGUAUGAAAAGUAUGUAAAUAACUUUUUAUCCACUUCUCUCAUAUCUUGUUACUGGGAUAUGUAUUGGCACUCGUCAUUUAAUUGAUUAAAAAGGUCAAUUAUUUCGUUGAAAA